rnacentral:rRNA from 1 species
CGAAAUGAAAACAAAAACAUUAUUUUUUUUCUAUUGACGCGCCAAUAAAACAGUACCAGCUGGCACCGUGCAACUCCACCUCUUGCGACAAGGCUGACAUUUCCACCUCGCUUCGUCGACCUCGGGUCUCCCCUGCUCUUCAUAUCUCCUCUCUCCACCCCCACCCUCCCCGAGCAUCAACACCGCCAAGAACACGAACUCCAACAAGACGAGGAUCGAUCGACACGGCAACGCGAGGGCGCACGCCGAUCGAUCGAGCUGAUUACGAUCGAUUCAAGCUUUGGCCAUGCGGAGGUCGGACUGGGAGGACCGGUGCCGGCGGCACCCGGAGCACCGGCUGUCCAAGGGCGUGUGCCCGAGCUGCCUCCGCGAUCGCCUCGCCCACCUCUCCGCCAACUCCUCCGCCACCACCACCCUGACGCGCGCCUCCAACUCGGCCAGCACCUCCCCCUACUCCUCCACCGACUCCCCUCCGCUCCACCACGCAGCCCUCUCCGCCGACGCCACCUCCGUCCACGUCGUCGGCGCCGGCGCCGGCUCCUCCUUCGUCAACGUCUCCGCCUUCUCGCAGCCGCUCAUGCCGACGGCCUCAAAGAAACCAGCAGAAGCCAAGGGAAAGGACGGCGAGGCGAAGAAGAAGAAGAAGAGCAGCAGCAAGAAGAAGAUCGGGAGGUUCCUGUCGAGGCUGGUCGGGACGGAGAAGCGGCGGAAAACAGGGGAAGGCGACGGCGGCGAGCUCUUCCAUUCCAGCACCAUGAAGGAGAAGUCGUCGACCAAGUGGGUCUUCUUUUGAUCAGACCGGCCGGCACCAGCUACCAACCAUACGAACCAUGCUUGGCCUUUCUCGGUUCUCGAUCGAUCGGCGCCGUGUAUAUACACGAGAUCAAGUAGCUGACCGUAAGGAGAAGCAUACAUAUAUGGUGAGAAAUUGCAUAUGGUUAUUGAUUUUUUUAGGACACAGUGUAUGGAUGUAAAUUAACGUGUAUUUGUAUCUAGUUUCUCUAGCAUAGUAUGUACUGUGUGAAUGGCUUCUGGGAUUCACGAAUUAUACGACAGUUUUGCUUAAUUUUCUCGCAUACCUUUGGUCUUGUUACUAUUGGUACUUGUUACUUGUUCUGACG